AGGAGAGCCACAGACUCCAGAAGCAACACAUGACCAUUGGCCUCCCCAGAACUUCCUGGGACUUGCCUCACACCCUGCUUUCACGCUCUAGGCUCCUUUCUUUCUCUGGUGAUAUUUCCUCCCAAUAACUCUGAGCUGGAGCAGCCCUGAGCUGGAGAGACUCUGAACUGGAGCAGCCCUGAGCUGGAGCAGCCCUAUGCUGGAGGGACCCUGAGCUGGAGCAGCCCUGUGCUGGAGGGACCCUGAGCUGGAGCAGCCCUGUGCUGGAGGGACCCUGAGCUGGAGCAGCCCUGUGCUGGAGGGACCCUGAGCUGGAGCAGCCCUGUGCUGGAGGGACCCUGAGCUGGAGCAGCCCUGUGCUGGAGGGACCCUGAGCUGGAGCAGCCCUGUGCUGGAGGGACCCUGAGCUGGAGCAGCCCUGUGCUGGAGGGACCCUGAGCUGGAGCAGCCCUGUGCUGGAGGGACCCUGAGCUGGAGCAGCCCUGUGCUGGGACCCUGAGCUGGAGCAGCCCUGAGCUGGAGAGACUCUGAAUUGGAGCAGCCCUGAGCUGGAGAGACUCUGAGCUGGAACAGCCCUAUGCUGGAGGGACCCUGAGCUGGAGCAGCCCUGUGCUGGAGGGACCCUGAGCUGGAGCAGCCCUGUGCUGGAGGGACCCUGAGCUGGAGCAGCCCUGUGCUGGAGGGACCCUGAGCUGGAGCAGCCUUGUGCUGGAGAGACCCCGAGCUGGAACAGCCCCGAGCUGGAACAGUCCCGAGCUGCCUCUCUUGUUAGGAGUGAGCUGGUUUAUCUGUGGGUCACGGAGGUGUACUGAGCUCCAUCUGCAGAUCAGUUAAUCGCUAACAAAUGUGGGCGAGUUUUCACCCAGCACAGACCACAGGCCGUGUCUCAGACGCUUUGCCAAGCCAUUUUGGAGCUGUAAGCAACUGGCCUGCUUCCAAGCUGAAUCUGUUCUGGCACACAGAGGCCAUGAGCCUGUGAAGCUCUGACUCUGGCACUGGGAUUGGGUUCGUGAGGAAUCAUGAGCCAUGAGAUGGCCUCCAGUCGGUCAGCAGGGCAGGAAGGGACUAGGACUCAGGAUUAGGGGCCGAGUCAUCACUGACCUUCACAGCGACCUCUGCACUGGCAGAGGUGGGAAGUGGGGUUUUCAGAACGCCUGCUUCGGUUGCUGGGCACUCUGCUUGGUUAGAGAGAUGGUGCUUCCGGAUUUCUGCUUGAAUGGUUUCCUCUACUCCCAUCCCUGAGUGCUCUCCCUGCCUGCGACCCACCUCUCAACACAUCCACUCAGGACAAGAUGGAUGAGGAUGAGACUAAUAGCUUCCAGGUGUGGCCUGGCUUCUGGGGUCUCCAUGUUCAUAUUGGGGCAUUAAUAAGCUUCUGCAUCGAGAGUGGUCUAGCUCAGCAUAGUCCAGACUGUAGUCCACAGAUGUGAGAGGCACCGAGACAAGAGGCCUUCAGCUCCAGUUAUAAGACUGUGCUUUGUUACGAGCAGAGCAGACGCUGUCUGUGGGGACCCUAGUUCUGGACUCUCAUCAGGACGUUGGCAUCAGUGAACGCAUCUCAGACCUUUACUGAGGUAGUCACCGUUUUAAUCUGUCGGUCGUGAUUACAGUUGACAGACUCAAAAUAAAAAUUAAG